rnacentral:rRNA from 1 species
CGAAGCAACGCGAAGAACCUUACCAGGGCUUGACAUCCCCCUGACCGGUACAGAGAUGUGCCUUCCCUUCGGGGCAGGGGUGACAGGUGGUGCAUGGUUGUCGUCAGCUCGUGUCGUGAGAUGUUGGGUUAAGUCCCGCAACGAGCGCAACCCUUGACCUGUGUUACCAGCGCGUAAAGGCGGGGACUCACAGGUGACUGCCGGCGUAAGUCGGAGGAAGGUGGGGAUGACGUCAAAUCAUCAUGCCCUUUAUGUCCUGGGCUACACACGUGCUACAAUGGGCGGUACAACGGGAAGCGAGACCGCGAGGUGGAGCGAAACCCAAAAAGCCGUUCGUAGUUCGGAUUGCAGGCUGCAACUCGCCUGCAUGAAGCCGGAAUUGCUAGUAAUCGCGGAUCAGCAUGCCGCGGUGAAUCCGUUCCCGGGCCUUGUACACACCGCCCGUCACACCACGAGAGUCGGCAACACCCGAAGUCGGUGGGGUAACCCUUUUGGGGGCCAGCCGCCGAAGGUGGGGCUGAUGAUUGGGGUGAAGUCGUAACAAGGUAGCCGUAUCGGAAGGUGCGGCUGGAUCA